rnacentral:rRNA from 1 species
UAAUUUGUAGAGGAUGCUUCGAGCAUGGUCUGGCCUAAGUUCCUUGGAACAGGACGUCAUAGAGGGUGAGAAUCCCGUAUGCGGCCAGGUGCCUACGCUCAUGUGAAGCUCCUUCGACGAGUCGAGUUGUUUGGGAAUGCAGCUCAAAAUGGGUGGUAAAUUUCAUCUAAAGCUAAAUAUUGGCCAGAGACCGAUAGCGCACAAGUAGAGUGAUCGAAAGAUGAAAAGCACUUUGGAAAGAGAGUUAAACAGUACGUGAAAUUGUUGAAAGGGAAGCGCUUGCAACCAGACUUGCGCGCGGCCGAUCAUCCGGUGUUCUCACCGGUGCACUCGGCCGUGCUCAGGCCAGCAUCGGUUUUGGCGGCUGGAUAAAGGCCCUAGGAAUGUGGCUCCUCUCGGGGAGUGUUAUAGCCUAGGGUGCAAUGCANCCUGCUGGGACCGAGGACCGCGCUUCGGCUAGGAUGCUGGCGUAAUGGUUGUAAGCGGCCCGUC